CUUAACACAUGCAAGUCGACCGGUAACGAUGUAGCUUGCUACAGGCGACGACCGGCGCACGGGUGCGUAACGCGUAUGCAACUUUCCUUAUACAGGAGGAUAGCCCAGGGAAACUUGGAUUAAUACUCCAUAAUGUCACCAGGUCGCAUGGCCAGGUGAUUAAAACUCCGGUGGUAUAAGAUGGGCAUGCGUAGGAUUAGCUAGUAGAUAGUGUAACGGACUACCCAGGCAACGAUCCUUAGGGGUUCUGAGAGGAUUAUCCCCCACACUGGUACUGAGACACGGACCAGACUCCUACGGGAGGCAGCAGUGAGGAAUAUUGGUCAAUGGGCGCGAGCCUGAACCAGCCAUCCCGCGUGCAGGAUGACGGCCCUAUGGGUUGUAAACUGCUUUUCUACGCCAAGAAAGGCCCGUACGCGUACGGGAUUGACGGUAGCGUAGGAAUAAGCAUCGGCUAACUCCGUGCCAGCAGCCGCGGUAAUACGGAGGAUGCAAGCGUUAUCCGGAUUCAUUGGGUUUAAAGGGUGCGCAGGCGGGCUUGUAAGUCAGUGGUGAAAUACUGCCGCUUAACGGUAGAAUUGCCAUUGAUACUGCGAGUCUUGAAGUAUGGUUGAAGGUAGGCGGAAUGUGCAGUGUAGCGGUGAAAUGCAUAGAGAUUGCACAGAACGCCGAUUGCGGAGGCAGCUUACCUAAGCCAUAACUGACGCUGAGGCACGAAAGCCGUGGGGAGCGAACAGGAUUAGAAUACCAGGUAGUCCACGGCUGUAAACGA
rnacentral:rRNA from 1 species